rnacentral:snRNA from 1 species
UUGCUUUGGCAGCACAUAUACUAGAACUGGAACAAUACAGAGAUUAGUAUGCCUCUGAGCAACAAUGACAUACAAAUUCAUGAAAUGUUUCUUUUCUUU